rnacentral:rRNA from 1 species
CACGUAGGGCGCAAGCGUGUCCGGAAUUAUUGGGCGUAAAGAGCUCGUAGGUGGUUUGUUACGUCUGCUGUGAAACCUAGGGCUUAACCCUGGGCUUGCAGUGGAUACGGGCAGACUAGAGUUCGGCAGGGGAGACUGGAAUUCCUGGUGUAGCGGUGGAAAUGCGCAGAUAUCAGGAGGAACACCGGUGGCGAAGGCGGGUCUCUGGGCCGAUGACUGACGUGAGGAGCGAAAGCGUGGGGAGCGAACAGG